rnacentral:tRNA from 2 species
GCGGACAUAGCUCAGUUGGGAGAGCGUCAGACUGAAGUGAAACUUCAUUCAAUCUAUCUGAAGGUCGUGUGUUAAAUCCACACUGGCCGCA